rnacentral:tRNA from 1 species
AAUUUAGUAUAUUAGUACAUAUUCCUUCCACGAAUAAAGUUCUCCCCCCCGAAAUUA